GGAAACCGCUUUCCUCGGUG
rnacentral:tRNA from 1 species